CUUUAUUUCCCCUUUUCCCAGCAAACUCACCUGCACUCGAUUUUCAGAACGAGACCCAUCUCCACCGUUUUUUCCUCUCAAAAUUCAUUCCUCAAAAUCCUCUCUUUAACUCCUAAAAUUCAAAUUCAGAAAUAGAUUCAUCUCAAAAUCCUCCCUUUCCCUGUAGAUUCAUCUCCUUAUAGAUUCAUCUCAAGGAUAGACCAAAAUCCCCAAAUUCGAAAAUCAAUUUUAUGGGCGAGUCGAAGAAGCUGUCCAAAUGAAGCUAGGUUUUCAUGAAACAAGCGCGAUUCUUGAUUGUAGAGGUUCUUAAAAAAGAGAGAUUUUUGUUGCAUGUCUUCUGAUUAUUCUGAGAGGUAUGUUAAUCUCAUUCUUUUUCUUCACCUGGGUAUUCUUUUCUACUCGUUGAAAUUCUUUAGCAUCCCAUGUUUUCCUUGAAGCUGUUUUUGGCUUCUGCUUCAUGCUUCAAUGAAUCUUUCCAGUGUUGAACUUGUACAAAAUAACAGUCAAUUUUGAGGCGAACUGUGUUUAGUUUCCUUGUGUACUUUUUAAACUUAUUGGCUCUGUCUAAAUUUAUGGCCAAUGACUCUGAAAAAGUCAGCUAUUUUCCAGCGCAUAAAAGCAGUUCUGAUCUAAAGUGCUUAAGCAUUUGAUGUCGAUGUUGGCUUCUCUUUAUGUUUUUAUCAAACUGAUAGUUCAACCGUCUCAUUCUUAAAAUAUCCAAGAGUAUCUACUGCUAUAUGGGAACUUAUAUAACUCAUAUUAUGCUUAAGCACUCACCUCGAACUAAUGUAGUUUUAGUGUGUCAAUUCUUGGGCUAUAUUAAAGCUAAAGAUUUGUCAGACCACUGUUCUUAUCUCUGUGCUUUCUUCCUUUUCUUGUUUACUUGCCUAACAAUGACUGUUUAGAUUUGCAUUCUCAACAGGGGAGGGACAACUGAAUUAUAAAGAUCCUCCACCUUCAACCAUAAGAUUGUGGAUUCGAGUCACCAAAGUAGGAAAAGGCCAACUCUAUUAGAAAGAAGUGAUUCACUUUUAGGAAAAUUUGAAAAACUUUUUAGUGCAAAAGCUUUUCAACCUUUUUUGAAACAAAAAACACUUUCAGUUAGUGUUUGUUUGCCUUUCUCUGCCAGUAUGCAAAAAAAGGGGUUGCCUCAAAAGUUGAGACAUGAUGUUAUAACAUGUGACAGUUGCUUGUAAAGACUGAAUCCAGCUUCUGUAACAUGACAGUUUGUCCUCCUCUUUUUGCUAUGUCAGGUAGUUUUUUUCACUUGUAUUAUUAGCUUUUUAACCCAGUGGAUGAUAGGGAUAUAUCUAGUGCUACAGCUGCUUUCAUAUUGGUGAACUAUGACCUUGGACCACUUGUUUGCUGCCCGAAAUUCUUGCUUGUAGAGCAGAUAAAGUCCUUUUAAAUAAUGUUUUCUGUUAUAGAAUUUGAUUUGUAUUGUGACAAUCUUGGUAUUCUUACCACCAAAACAUGUUUCUUUAGUUUUCUUUGUCAUACUUGAUUAUUGAGAUUUUGUUUGAUCAUGUUCUUGUAAUUUAAUUAUUGCUUUUCAAGAUAGAUGUAAUGAAAUAGCAGGCAUUAGGUAUAUCACAUGGAGUUGUGGAGGAAUGAGUAACCAAUAGACAACUAUUUUUAUUGAUUGGUUUCGUCUUCAUUUUGUACAAUGGAUUUCAUAAUAUCACUUCAUGGAAAGGGACUACUUAUAGGAAAGAAAUAGUUAUAGUGUAAAUGAUAUAGGGACAACUUAUAGUUGGACGUAAUAUCACUUCAUGGAUUUCAUUAAAUAGGAGAAAUUACAGAAAAAAGACUUCAACUGUAACCCAUGAAUAAGGAUUCAUAGUAGUGUCUUUCACUUUGGAUAGCUAAUGAAAAAACUCUAUCAACUACACCUAAUAUUAAUGCAAGAAUUUAACAUUCUUGAACUAAUAGUGAAACAGAAUAGAUGAAUAUAUAAAAUUUAGAUAUCUCUAGUUAGUUUAGAAUUAAAAAGUAAUUAGUAAAACAGAAUAGAUGCCUUAGUGCUGGUUUAAAGGAUAUUCUCUACCAUUUCUUGAAGAGAUAGAGGAAGUAUCCAUGAAUAAACAAUUCAUGAAUAAACAACGGAAUAGGACAUAGACUAUUACAAAUAAGUGACGUGAGUACCAAAAAGCAUUGAAUCCGGUGAGUUUCUAAUAGAGAAACAUAAGAACGUAGGAAUAGAAAACAUUUGAAACAGAGCAAAAGAUUAAUCCAGUAUGUUGCUUCUAUUGUUUUUAAGAGCUUAGAAUUUUAGCAACUCAGCAUAGAAAUUAAAGAGUAAAAUUAGUUAAGAUGCAACCAUCACGAGUGAUUAUGUAUGACUCACGGUGAGAAAAAUUCUGUUUCUCGAAUGUGAUGAUAUCUCCACAGAUUCAUUUUCAAUGCCUAAGGUGAACAAGUAUCGGAAGAUAAAAAGAGAAGAGAACCAAAAAGAGAAGAGUCUACAUGAUACUUUAAACAUAAAAAGAGAUUCUAAUUAUCCAACUAACAGUCUUAACUUGUUCCCUAUAUCUGCCUUAGAUUGAGACUUAAGAUUAGUACAAUAUUCAUGAUUGCAGGGAACAUAAGAAUUUAAUUGGUAAUCGCAGUAGAUCAAAUGCAUGGGAAAGGGCAAGAAAUCAUAGUCGGGAAUUCAACAAUUGGUUUGCUGAGAAAGUUAAAAAUAUUGAAGUGCCCAAUUAUGUAAGAUGGCUAGCUAAAGGGCCUAAUGCGAUCGCCAAAAGAUAUACUGCAUAUUUCAUUAAUGGAUACUGAUUUCAUACCAUAGAACGGGAUUCCCGAUGCAAGACUCAAAAUAAUGAAGUGACUUUAUCGGCAACAACCAAUAGCUUUGCUAGAUCUAGGGACCAAAAUCUCAUCGAUGGUGAGGUUAUCUAUUAUGGAGCUAUUUAGGAUAUCAUUGAGAUUAAUUAUUGGGCUUGUUUUAGUGUUUUACUAUUUAGAUGCGACUGGUUUCGUAAUGAAAUAGAUGAAUAUGGGUUAACCCGUGUGUACUUUAAGAAAUUAUGUAGUACAAAUGACCCUUUUUUAUUAGCAUCACAAAUUUAUCAAGUUUUUUAUGUGGAGGAUCCUAUUGAUAAAGAUGUUCAUUAUGCAAGGAAUAAAGUCCCUGUUGAUUUAUAUGAUUUAGAGGAAGAAAAUUGCCCCAAUAUUGAAGAUGCAUUUUGGAGAGAGCCUAAUGAUGACGUUGGUUCCUUAAGUGGAUUAGUUGAUGUUGAGUUUGGAUGCUCAAGAAACGAUGUACCCGUUGACGUCGUUGAUAUUCCAUCUAAUGCACAACAUUCACAUGAUACAAUUAUAGAAACCUCGGAAGAGGAGAAUGAGUUUGAUGAUACUGAUUGGGACGGGAUGAAAUCAGAUGAUUAAAGAAGAAACUUCUUAUAUUCUUUUAAAUAUAUUCUAUUUAGAGUGAGUAAUAAUAUUUUUUAUUAAUAUUUUAUAAUUACUCUUUUUAUAUAAUUUUAAUAAUUUAUAUACCCAUAGGGAAUUUCAUGACAGUAGCUUGAAAAAUUUUAUCUUUACAUCCCUUUGUUCACUUCUAGUAGUUCCUAAUCUUAUGUGAUAAAGGAAAUGGUUAGUGUAAGUGAUCUUGUAAAGAACUUACCCUAAUGAUCUGUCCUUGUUCAAAUAAUUUUAUCUAUUAAACUAAGCCAAUGUGUUAUAAUGGACCAUAUACUAACUCAUAUACUAAGUGGACCUAUUUGCAUAUUUGUGUGUUAAUGUACUGUGAGUUGUUAGUUUAACUAUUAAGGUGAUCAUGUCUCAGUGAGAUGUCUGCCUGCUCUUAGCUCUAUUGGUGUCAUAGAAGUAUUAGAGACCUACUCUUUCAAUAUAAACUUGCCUAAGAGAACUGUGAGCAUUAGACCUAUAGUGAAACCAACAGAACAUGUGCUUAAACUCCCUCUGCAUAAUGUAGGUCUGUUAAUAUUUCUAAGCCUAGGAGAUAUGAGUGGUGAAGCAUGCUUCCUACCUACACUUUGUAAUAUUAUAUCCCAAUAGUAAUCUCAUGCCUACCUUUUCUCCAUACACAAAAAAGAGGAUCUAUUAUUUUGCUAGCUAUGUCAAGGGACCUGAGCAUCCAGGUCGCCUAAGAUUGUAUGGACGUAGGGUUACCAAGGCUUCCUUAAAAAGAAAAGUGGGAGAUUUUGGAACCUCUUUAAGUUCUACUGAUAAGGUGAUGGAGCAAAAAUUGGAGGAAAUGGAAGAAAGGAAAGAUUGUAGGAAAAGUUCAAUGCACAAAAAGAUGCCAUCGAACUACAAGUUGCAGUUAACAUCAUUUCACAACUUAAGCAUCUGAAUCCAGAUUUACGGGUUGAUCCCAGCAUGCUAGCUUUCAAUGCUCGUUCACCUGGAGAAGUUUCCUCUGCACAACAAGCUGUUGUGCAACUAAUCAAUCGUCUAUCUACUGGGAGUAAUAAUCAAGGUGGAUCAAUUAAAGAAAGGGAAGAUGGAGAUUGCCAAUAUCUAGACCUUACUUAAGAAUUUUAAAUUAUUGUCCAUGUUCUAGGAAUCUUUUGUUAUCAACAUUUGAAACUUACUCUAACUCUUGAUGUUGAAAUGUAAGACUUAUGUGAUUUGGGUUAAAACAUUUUGGUUUUAUGGAGAUAAUAUAGAUNAU